AAAAGAAAGAAGAAGAAGAAAAAAAGGACUGGAAAGACAUUGGUGAAUAGAAAGACGAAAGGGUGAAGAAAAAAAUGAUGAUAGUCAAUAGGGUGGUUUUAAAAGAGGCUUUUUUUUUUGAAUUUGUUUUUGUGUGAGUGUGCAUGCAUGUGUUUGUUUUUUGCCUAAAAGUAUUUAACUCCUCAUUACACCACUGAUUUCAAAGAAAAAAACCUGAAGUGUAAGAUCAUAUGAUUUGUUUUUAAACUGAACACUGUAUACUCUCUUUUUGUUUUUGCAAAAUUAAUGCAGUAUCCAGUGUGUCUUUAGAUAACCCUGUCCUUAAUGAUAUUUUCAAUAGCCACUAACCUUGCCUGGUACUGUUUUGGGGUUAAAACUAGAAUAGAAAUUUAAAGCAGGCUUUAUUAGUGCAUAGUACAAAUCAAUUACAUAUAUAUGGAGAUAUUAUUUUUCCCUCUUCAGUUGUUUUUCAUGCAGCUUACCCAAUAUAAUUGUUCUGUUAGUUGUAUACUACACUGUGAUAGCAAAUAAUAAUAAUAAAAUAAUUAUGAUGGUAUUGC
rnacentral:lncRNA from 1 species